rnacentral:rRNA from 1 species
UACCCGCUGAACUUAAGCAUAUCAAUAAGCGGAGGAAAAGAAACUAACUAGGAUGCCCUUAGUAACGGCGAGCGAACCGGGCAAAGCCCAACUUGAAAAUCUCCAGCCUCCGGCUGGCGAAUUGUAGUCUAGAGAAGUGCUCUCUGCGCCAGUCCGGCCCCAAGUCCCCUGGAAAGGGGCGUCAGAGAGGGUGAGAACCCCGUUGGGACCGGAUCCUGGUGCUCCACGAGACGCUUUCGCAGAGUCGGGUUGUUUGGGAAUGCAGCCCAAAGCAGGUGGUAAAUCCCAUCUAAGGCUAAAUACAGACGGGAGACCGAUAGCGAACAAGUACCGCGAGGGAAAGAUGAAAAGAACUUUGAAAAGAGAGUUAAAAAGUGCUUGAAAUUGUUGAGAGGGAAGUGAUUGGAUCCUACGGGUGCGCCCAGGCACACGCCUGCCUAACGGUUGGCUGAAUGCGCUGGGUGCUGGUCAGCAUGGGUUGGCCGGGCGGGACAAACCCGGGGAUUGCUACCCCGGCUAUGUCGCCUGGCCGACUGAGGAAAGAAGGGCGCUCU